rnacentral:lncRNA from 1 species
UAAUUUGUGAUGGACUAGUUGGAGCACCCCUGCAGGGUUAAAUCUUUCGGAAAGCCGUGCCUGCGGUUAUGUGGCAACGUGGAAAGUUUGUUUAACACUGGUUCUAGAUAACUUGAAGUUAACUUAAUUAAAAACAUGCCAACUGUGUGCGUAACCGUGACUGUCUCUUUCGUGAGUUCCUUCUCCGAUCGAGGACACGGUGGGGUUAUGUCUGUCGUAGGUAGGUGUUCAGGAUCAUUCAUUUGAUCAUCAGUAGUUCACGUCCGCUAUGCGUAGAUCUUCCCCCUCUUAAUUCUUGUACUCGUAAGUUAGCCACCGAAUAUAUGCUUAGCCGCUGCUGCAACCUCACCACUUAACCAUACCUCACCCAUUAAACUUUGCUAGUCUUGAUACCUUCAGAAAUGAGAUUGCUGAGUCCCCUGUGGCUCACAGAUUACUACAACACCAGUUGCAGGUACAGGUAAAGGUUACUUGAUGCGAGCGCGUUGAUUGUUCAUUUGGAGUUGCUUCUUCUUCUUCGAUCUAGGAGGGGUUCCAGGCUGGCAGCCUGGGAUAGCAAGGAUGGACGUCGUUCUUCUUUUGUCGUUUGUUUUCGUCCGUAGUCGGACCCUGCUCUUACUCUUGAUGAUUAUGUAAUGUACUGAUGUGACUCUGAUGUAGCUUGUGGCGAGUGUAAGCCAACCCUUUAUAUAUCUCAUCUUUUCAGUACAUGUACUUGUAACGAUAUCCAUUCUUGCGACACGAUGAGAUGCGCUUCUAUCCCUGACGAGGCCUUCGUGCCAAGUUGAGGAUAGGGUCGCAUCUGGGCGUGACAAACACGCAUCGGCAACCAAUUUCAGAGGCUAAGAUUAGGUAGAGGAGAGUUUAUAUUGCUUGGAAUUUUGGGAGGAUGGGUUAAGCACGCCACAGGCGACUAGGGUUUGUACCCAAUCAUCUAUUACAUGCCUCAUAGGGCUGGAAUGAGAGGCCUAAAUAGGCCAACUCGCCGAAAGCAGUAAAAGUAAAUGAGCUGGCGGUAGUUGGCUUGCCGUUAGAUGUGAGAUUGACGCUCCACCCGCUUCGUAACUCGAAUCGGUAUCGCUCUUUCUCCAUCGUUGGAUGAUAGAUCAACUACUGUCGAUGCAUAUGACACGCAGAAACACGGGAGGCUCGACCCUCACAAUUCGCCAUGUUAAGCUGCAGCUUGCCCUCAAGCUGCAAACGAAGGAAAAACUUUUUGAAUGAACGAUGAAUCCUCCCAUGUUGCUUGCUCCACUGGCAUGUUGACCCACUUGACUAACCAUCUCAGCACAGGAAUGCUAAUAUCUCCUUGAACUCUGGGAAUCAAUUUCCUUUCUAACACAUCUUCUGGCUCCAUUUUAAUCACUCCAGCAGGACCAAUUAAGGGCAAAUCCUUGGAGGGUACAACAGAAGGCCCAAUAUGCUUCUUUAGCUGACUCACAUGGAAUGUAGGGUGCAAUUUGCAACCCGCUGGCAGGAGCAACUUGUAAGCAUGAAGGCCAAUCCUCUGAAGAACUCUGAAAGGCCCAUAAAACUUUGAAUGCAGUUUUAAAUGCAUGUGGAGACUAAGAGAAGUGUGUCUGUAGGGCUGUGGUUUCAAGUAUACCAUGUCCCCCUCUACAAAUUCCCUUUCCUUUCUUUUUUCAGCAAACCACUUCAUUCUGGCCUGUGCCUUGAGCAAAUUCUGCUUGAUUACUUCCAAAGCCAACUCUCUGUUCUGAAGAAAAUUAUCAGACUCCACAGAAAUGGAAUCAGGUAGGGCUGAUUCAGCCACCAUAGGAGGAGGAAAACCAUACAAAGCUUGGAAGGGAGUCAUUUGUAAGGCAGUAUGAAAACUGGUGUUGUACCACCAUUCAACCAAUGCCAACCAACCAUGCCAUUUCCUGGGCUGUUGGAAGCACAUACACCUCAAAUAAUUUUCCAAGCACCGAUUUACCCUCUCAGUUUGUCCAUCAGACUGAGGGUGGUAGCUAGUACUCAUAUGCAGCUUGAUCUUUAAGGACUUAAAUAGUUGCUGCCAUAGAUUGCUAGUAAAGAUCAUGUCCCUAUCAGUCACAAUCACCACUGGCAUCCCAUGCAAUUUGAAAACUAUUUCAGAAAAAAGCCCUAGCCACAGAUUCCACAGUAAUAGGGUGUUUCAUACCAAUGAAAUGAGCAUACUUGGUAAAUAUGUCCACCACCACCAAGAUGAGAUCCUUGUUCUCACACAUAGGUAAACCUUCCACAAAGUCCAUGCAGACAUGAGCCCAAGCAAAGUCUGGUACAUAUAGUGGUUCUAACAAGCCUGGAUAAGGACAAUGUUCAGCCUUAUUAAUUUGGCAGACCGGGCAAGCUUUGAUAAAUGCAGUGACAUCCUCCUUUAAUCCUGGCCAAUGAAACACUAGCUUAACUCUAUGAUAGGUAGCCCUUUCACGAGAGUGACCCCCUAAUUCAGAGCUGUGAAAUGUUUUCAGUAAUUCCUGUCUGAGAGCAGUUGCUUUACCCACUACUACCUUGUUCUUGAACCUCAGGAUGCCAUUCCUAAAUGAAUAAGAACUGGCUUGAUCCUUUGUCAUAGUGCACCGAGAAAUCAGCUCUUUAAUCCUAUCAUCCUGACUGUAACUCUUGACCACUUCUACUACCCAAGUGGGAGUAGUGCUGCUGGCCACAAGCAUAGAUACUAGGUGCUUCACCCUCGAUAGUGCAUCAGCUGCUUUGUUUUCCUUGCCUUUUUUGUAUUCAAUGGUGAAAUUGUAUCCCAACAAUUUGAGUAACAACUUGUGCUGCACUCCCUCAGUGAGUUUUUGUUCCUGCGUGUAUUUUAAGCUCUCUUAAUGUGUUCUGAUAACGAACUGGUAGUCGGGGCCGGCUACAAUGAGUGGGGAGCCACCAAGAUCUCGCCAGUUUCAUGGCCCCGGGGCGAGAUGGCAACCACCGCGGUCCCCCUUCAUAUCCACGCUCUUCUUUCUAGUGUACUGUCGCCGUUCUCGAGCUUCCUCAACGCAGUGCUUUCGCAUUACCAGAUCCACGCGCUCCACCUUGACCCCAGUUCCUUGGUUCUCCUCUCGGCCUUCGCAUUCUUGUGAGAGGCCUUCGUUGGUGCUACCCCUUCUGUGGCAUUACUUCGCCACUUCUUCUCCCUCGAAUUGGUCUCCGAGAAGCAGUGCUCCGGGUGCGCGUCCUUGACAGCGACCGACGCCUCGACCCCGGGGGCCCUCGACGUCCAGCUCCUCCCCGAAGCAAAGGGGUUCUGGCAGUAGUGGGUGCAGGUCUAAACUGUUGAGGCCGGAGCCCUAUUCCGGCUCCCAUCAACCCUCGCAACACCAAACCUGGGGUGGAAGCGCCAGGAGCUUAAUGACACCCGGCUCACGCCGGUCCUGUUCCGGUUGGAGAAACUGAAGCGGGCGGGGGUGACGAUGAAGAUGGUGGUGCGGGAGUUUAUCCGUCGGCGGAUCGCUCCUCUCCAGUGUCACUCCUGUCCGAUGUGGGCCUACACGGGACCUCGCGACGCAAUGAGGAUCCAGGUCCUGCCUCUCUCCACUGACGUCGUGUGCGAGUUGCUCCAUCAGCUGACUGGUGGCGAUCCUGGCGAGCUACCCCAGAAUGCCCUCCCAUUGUAUAACUUCAAGGCCCUGGAAGCUCUUGUCGCAGGGGUGCCACUCUUCGUUGAAUGGGGGUUCCUCCUUGGGGGGGGCUCGCACCCCCGGGGGGCCUCGACCCACGAGGUUCAGACCCACGGGAACUCUGGUCGUGCUGCCCCUCCCGCAUCCGGCGUGGGCGGUGUAUCACCGCUUGCUCCCCCGACUCUUGCUCCAGGUCGAGCAACGGUUGGUGGUGACGACCGGUCGGCGGUGAAAGUCGCCGCCCCCACCAUCAAGCUCCAGUCAAGGGUCGUCGGGUCUCCACGCCAAGCCACCAGCGUCGGCCGGAAGAGGAGGUCGCCCGAGGGCAGCCGCCCCUGGAUGCGGUGGGCCCCGGUGAAGAAGAAGUGGGUCGCCAUGGACGAGUAAGUGCUCGUAACCUCCUUCGUCCUUUCCUUUGGCGCCUCCCUUCUGACACUUUGUUCUGCACGCUCUCCACAGGCGACACGGGAGGCGGAUCGGUGCUGCCCGCCCAUGAGAUCGCUGAGCACCUUGAGGCUUCUCCCCUGGCACUUCGGGAGGUUCAAUCUUCCGAGUCCCCCGCGCAUGAGCCUCCCGCGGUUCCUCCUAAGGGCGUUCUACGCCUCCCUUUCGGACCCCUUCUUCCUGGUGACGUGGGGCCUCAGGGGGCGCUUCCCUUCAAUGAAGCACCUGCGUGUGAGCCCCCAGCCCGUGUGUAUGGAUUCGGGCUAAGAGGCUCCUCGCACACCUCUCCCGUUCGCCAUGUAGAAAGUGAGAGCUCUUGUUGGCCGUUGCUGCCUGUUGAAGGUGUGCGUGCCACGCCGUGGGGCUUGCUCUGCACUGCGGCGGACGCGCUUCAGCGUCUGGGAGCGGGGCUCGCCAGCAAUGAAGUCCGCGUGAAGGAUGAUCGCCGACACCUUGCGUCGGGGUGGCGCGAGCUUGAAGUCGCCGUGAAUCUUGGUCGUCUACAGCAUGAGCGCGCCCGCGCGGAGGUAUAGAGGUCUCUUGCCGCAGCGGCGGAACCCCACGAGCACGCUCUCUCUGAGGCUCAAGAGGCUUAUUGUCGGCGCAGGGCCUCCGAGGAUCGCCACAGGGAGCUUUGCGCCCUCAACGCCGAUCAUGAAAAACAAGCUUGGUUGAAGGCCACCCGAGGGGGUCCGCCCGCUGAGUUCUUCCCUGCCAUUGUGGGCUUUCGAGCCUCCGCCGACUCGGUGGCGCUGGUAGAGGUGGAGCAGAGCAUGGAGCGGGAGCGUCUGGAGGUGCAGGAUCGCCAGGUGUCGCUUGCUGAGGAAUCUCUUGCCUCUCGUGAGGCGAAGCUUUAGGAGGAGAUCGACAGGGGGUGGCAGAGGCUCAUCGUUCCCUUCUUCUUGACUAUCGUGCGAAGCUGAGGCUCCAGAAGUCCCGCUUCUGCGAGCGCCACGACCACCUGAAAAAGGAGGUCAAUGCCCUCUAGGAAAGGUUGGAUCAGGAAGUGAAACGUCGACAGGUCAUGCUGGACGCCCAGGCUACUGUCGAAGGUAAACUGUUUCUUCUUUACAAACAGGUGAAAGGCGCGGCUUCCCUGGUUGGAGAGACCUCCGGAGAGGCGAUCCAUGCUCGUUGCCUCCAACUUGAACACUCCCGGAUGUUCCAAUCCCUCGAGGGGAGAGCCUCCCUGGCUUUGAGCGACAUCUGUGGCGAGGGUGUCUCAAGCCCCCUGGUCCUCGAUGACAGUGGGUACAUGGUAUUCUUCCUCCGUGUUGUGGAGCGUCUUGAGGCGGGUGCCGAGAAGGCCCACGCACUUGCAGAGGAGAAGAGUCGUGACCUCUUGGGCCAAGGGGCCUCGGACGUCUUCGGCCACCUCCUUCGCCUCGACCCAGACUUUGACUUCGCCGCCGUGCUGGAUCUGGUGCCAUAGACGAUCUGCGCUACCCUGGCCGAAUGGGUAGAGGUCCGUGUCGAAGACCUGGUGACAAGGCUCGCUCCCGAAGAUUGCGGCGUGAGCUCUGGCGAUAAUGCGUCAUCCUGAUCCGCCACCUUGUCCUCCUGAUAUGGUUACGUACUAGGUUUAAUAUCAACUUUGAUGUAACUAGAGGGUAAAUUUCAACGCGCCCUUUGAGGACGAGGUGUGUGCGAUGUUUUUGUCCUGGCUAUGGCCGCUGCCAGCCCCGUGUUGUCGCGACACUAAAGGUCUAACCCACGAGCAUGGCUCCGUUCGUGAUGAUUUCUCCCUGCUUGUGGGGUGGUUUGGGGACCCUUUCGGCACUCUGUGUCUGCAGGUCCCUGUCCCGUGCAUUUCCCUACCGCCGUGAGGCAACCCGUUACCAAGGUUGUUCCUCAUGGGGCAAAGCAGCAAAGCCCCGACUCCCUGGGUGCCAGUGUCGGUGGCACCUGGGUGGUCGGGUGGCCUUGCGACCGUUAAGGCUCCUGAGGCAUGUUGCUCAGGAGUCCCCCUUACACUCAAAUCGCUCUACGUCGACUGGUCCUAGUCCUGCACAUUUCCCCACCACCAUUAGGUAUGUCCACGAAGGGCGCAUCUAAGGGGAGGGGCCUCGCCUCCCCUGAUAUCGACCGGAAUUCCAGGACGACAUCAAGGAGGGCAAGUGGCCUUAUGACCGGUAAGGCUCCUGAGGCGGGCCUCAGGAGUCCCCUUUGGCGCUCGAGCGAUUCCCCCAUUCCGCCCCCUUGCGUUUUCCUCGGGAGGCCUAGCGGUCUCCCGUGGUUUCCGCAAAACACCAAUCAAAACAAAAGGAGAAAGAGGACUUGAGUUUGGUAAAACGAAAGAAACAUGGAGAGGAAAUCCCUGCCCUUCUUUUCUUUUAAAAACAUUUAAACAAAAAGAUCUUCAAGCCUUUGAUAGCUCAUAAUACAAAAGGGGAGGCCCUCGAGGGUCGCAACUUGAAACGCGAGAGAAGAACGAGAAAAUGGACGCGUCCGGCACCUAAGCUAUUCACCGCCUCCGUCUCCCCCCAGCACGGAGCAUAGGGCUUCCACUAGGCAUGGGAUGGACCCCUCCGCGUCCUCGGGGUGCCCUGGGCGUAUACAGCCUCGGCUCAUUAUUGCGUGAGAGUGUCACGGUGGGGGUGUAUCUGGGAGGUCGCGAGGACACUUUGGCCUCGCGAGUGUCCCUACCCCUGAGGCAUAGGCUCCUGAUUCCAGAAGUCAUUGGUGGACUGUGUUGAUUGCCUCUGUCUUCUCCCCAGCACGGAGCAUAGGGCUGCCACUAGGCGUGGGAUGGACCCCUUCCACGUCCUCGGGGGGCCCUGGGCGUAUACAGCCUCGGCUCAUUAUUACGUGAGAGUGUCACGGGAUGAAGUAGGUUCCGGAAGGAUUGAAGUACGGUGCAGAGGCGUCACGGGUCGAUGCAGGUCCCGGGGACGCUUCACGAGCCCCAUGCCUCUCAGGCACGUGCUCCGCUGAUGGUCCCCGGGAUCAUAGCGAAAUGGCAUGACCCGCCCUGAGCGAUUCCUCGAGCGUGGGGGAGCCCCCAGUGCUCGCUGGCUGGAGGGCUCGCCAAAACGGUAGGUUUUGAGUCCCCGAGGUGUUGCCCAAACGCGCCUCGCUGAGGCCCCCCAGGUUCCCAUGUUUGUACCCUAGGACAUGCCCCCAGGUCGGGCUAGCCCAUCCUGAGGACAAUGGCGGGUACCCGAAUACCCGCUGGCGAUCAAACAAAGCCUGCAAUGGUGACAUGGGUGUGUGUUCCACCCUCAGUCCUCAGGCGGGCGUCGCACGCCCCGGAGGCACGGGCGGAUAUACCAUUCCCGGUCUCCAAGUGAGGAUCGUCUCGCCCGGGAACAUGGGCGUGUGCUCCACCCUCCGUUCCCGAGCUGGGGCCUCUCGGCUGGGACACAAGGGUGCGUCCAACAUGUCCCAGGCGAGAGGUCCCCGGUCCCCAAACCCACACGUCUGCCAGAAGCAGCUCCCGGCCAGCAGGUGUGCCUUGCAAGGACACCCGCAUUGUUGUUCAUACCUGUUCGCACGGGGGCUGCCUGCCGGGUCGCGUGCGUGCCUCCUACAACGGUGAUGAUCCGCUCUGAUUCCUGCGUGGCCCGGACGUGCGCCUUGAGGGGUUGAUGUAGCCGGGCCUCCGGUACUCCCUCCUUGUUCCGUGAAGCACGUCGGGGAAUGAUGGACGAAGCCUUCCCAGCGCGGCCAAAUCCCGCGGCUCCAGCAGCUCCCACUGAGCCCUGAGUGGGGGCGGGCCUGAGUGGGUGUUUGGGGCGCGCCCGCGUUGUUCCCCUGUUGUAGCCCCUGGCGAUGCUGGCUAACGAGCGCGGUUCCCCCUGGAGUGCACUUGGGUCCCACCGGUGACGUCAUUCCCGAGAGCGCGCCUGUGACCGCCGAUGCGGCGGCGACGAACAGUGUGUCGACGCCUGAGCUCAAGCGCCACCAGGAGCAUGACAUGCCUGUGCGUCGGGUGCUGGCAGACUCGAAAGGUGGAAGGGGCAGCCUGGACGCGUGGAGGGGUCGGGUCGAUGGGGGAAUGUCGCGUGGUUGGUGAAGGAGGCAGCCCCCGACGCUCAUUGGAAACCUGUCUGGUGUGGACGCCGACCGAUGGGGUGGUGGAGCGUUGUAGGGCGUCCAGGCCUGCCCGCGCAGGCCGCGCCAUGCAUGUGGCCUGCCUCUCCGUGCGGAUUCGCCGUCUCCCUACCAUGUGUGUGACCAGCUUCAGCGGGCCGAGCCCUGGGAGAGACCUUGACACACACCCUACGUGGCGGCCAAAUGUCGGAUUUUGGGCUCCGCAAAACCCUUAAGAUUCGAACUCAGGGGCGUGUACGAAGAUCUCUCGUGGCUCGCCUCACUUAGCUCGCCGCUCGUAGGGCAUGGCAGAGAACUCACUCGAUGGUGAGGAAGACACCGAACACGGCAGUUUACCCAGGUUUGGGCCACUGAGAAGCGUAAUACCCUACUCCUCCUUUGGUGGAUUGCCUCUCGUGGAGGUUCAUGAAUGAACUAGUACAGUGUUCGAGAGCCUCCGGAGGGUGAGUGGCCUUCACGGGGUGUGGGUGUGCGAAUGAAGGGACCCCCCUCUAUGAAGCAACCUAUCCUCGAUAUAUAGCCGCAGCCCGGGUCCUCUUCCCUUAUCGCAAGGGCGGGAAAGGAUCCCACAAUGGCCAAUGUUAAAGGGGGACAAAGGAACGUGCUCACCCUAUCCAAAGGUGGUGCAAAACCUGGUUAUAAAUCUCGUGACCGUAUGGACUUUUUCCAAAAAUUGGGACCAAUUAAAUUUUUUGUGAAUGCUUGUGAUGCUUGGAGUGACUAUGGUUUGCUUGCUUGCUUGUAUGCUUGUGUUUGAUUCUCAAUAAUUCAUGUUACUCUCCUUAGCCCAAAACUCCUCCCUAAUAAUCAUACCAUGUGUUUAGGACCAGAAACUAUUAUUUACCAAAUAUUAUUUUCACCAAAAAUCAUUUCUUUAAAUUAAGCUUUCAAAACCCGUGAGAUGGGAUUUGUACUACAAGUCCUCAAAUUAGGGAUUUUAUUUUGCACCAAUUAUUUUAUUUAAAACCCAUUAUCAAAAUGGCUUACCAAAACCAAAAUAUUAUAAUUUUAAAAGUUAUUUUACUAUUUUAUUUAAAUGCCUUCAUGUGAGGCCAGAAAUGGUCUCUUAUGAAGGAAAGUUAUUUUUAUUGCAUUAAAAAUAUUCGUGAAAAUUUAAGCAAACUCAGUGGACAUAUAUAUUCUAUAUAUAGGAGUUUCAACACAUGGUCAUGUUCAAAAUAUUGGGCAAAUCCCUUCAAAACCCUUCCUGCCUAUUUCAAUCUUUUGGAAUAUUUAAUUCCUGCAAAAUUCUAGCAUAUACAUAUAAUAUAUGUGAUGAUCUUGCCAAGUUUCACCUCAAUACAAGUUGAUUUGAUUCCCCUAAAUAUUCUAAAACCCUAUCUGUCCAGAUCCAAAUUUGAGCAACUCUACAUUGUCAAGUGUCUCCAAUUGUGUCCACAUUUGGUAGACAUGUUCUCAUACUCCAAUAAUGCAUCCACACCAAGUGGUGCAUCAAGGAGAAUGGAAUAACUUGUCCCAAGCCCCUCAAAACCAUCUGUGUUGAUUUCUGACUUUGGGAAACUUUACAUUAUAAAGUUUCUCCAAUUGAUACCAAACUUUUUGGGCAUAAUUUAAGGCUCAAAUAAUGCCCCCACACCAAAUAUUGGAUUUGUGGGAAUUGAUUUGCAUAGCUUUGUAAGCAGAAGGCCAUUUCUACCCAUUUCAUGGGUUUUCCAAGUCUACAUUGGAAACAUUCUCCUCCAAAGCCCAAAUUUGGUGUCCAAAAUUAUUUUAAUCUAUUAUUUGAUCAUGUUAAGUUUCAUAUCAAUUGAAGUUCAUCUGUUUGCCCUGACACUCAUCAAACACCUUGUGUGCACUCAGCUAAGUGGCUACUUUGGCCCCUUCCACUUUUACCCUUGAUCUCAAAUUUCUACCACAACUCUAUAUAGUUACAUUCUACCUCUAGUAGCAUUGUCAUGACCUCUGGUCAAUUAUUGGAGAGAGGCUCCAUGUAAGUACUUAUCUUUUUUACCCUUGGAUCACCAUUUUUACCCGUCUUGCCCCACCUCUGCUUAAGUUAAUGACCCCAACUCUUUCCAGAGGGUCCCUAGCAUCCCAAGGCAUCAUUUCAAACCAAGAUGUGGCAUGCUCAUGUGGGGAAAAUGAGCAACACAUCUACAAGUUGAUUUAUGGAUGAAAUGUAUCUUUGCACAGUAAGGACUAGGUACCCUGCUCUAAUUGAUCUCAAACCUGGCAGUGUUGUAGUCCUUAAAUAGCCAAGCAUGCUAGACAAGGUCCCAUCCUGAGAUCACUCCAUUAAGCACCCUCAAUCCUAGACCUAAGUUUGUUGUAGCAAACUUAACCUCGGUAAAAACCCAUUCAAACCAGCUCCACUAGCUACCAAACUCCUCACUCACACUCCAGAUAGUAUGCCCCACUUCCCAGACAUCAUUGACUCGUCAAAUUGGCACUCUGGGCACAGCUGGCCACGGUGACCACCACCAUGGCCUGCAAUAUGGGUGCUCUGCACCUUGUUUCGUUCCUCCAGUCGUAUCUAGCCGAUGCAACCUGUCCUAGCAUGCCAAAGCUCCUCCUUUUAAUCGUUCCAAUCACUCCCCAACACUAGCUAGCCUCCAAGCUUCAUCUGGGGCACGUGGCAUCCAUGCACAGGGAGCUCCCGAGAGCUCCCGAGCUCUCUCUCUCCGUGCCCCUCCCUUAUCAUUUCUCCCUCGAGACACUACUGCUCCUGCAUCUCUCUCUCUCCCCAGUGCACCUGCAGAGCUCCCCCUUGGCCCCCCUCUCCUCCAGAGCUUCUUCCUCUCCUUCCCUGGUCGCCAUGGCCAGCUUCGGCCAUGCUCGCGUCCGAGCUCUCCAAUCCCCCCUCUCCAUCCCUAGUACCUCCAGGAGAACCCUGAUGUCAACUGUUCUUCCCCUUUGCAACGGCACCAGAAGAAUGAUGUUAGCACUCUCUGGCAAUCGAAACUAGAAGAAUGUUGUUGAUGCCCACCAGCACGUGGGAUCAUAGCAGUUUUCGAGGGUAGAGUAUUUGACCCAAAUUUGUUGAUUCGCACGACGGGAGGUUAGAGAACACUCUCAAGUAUUAGGAGCUGGAUUUAUCAGAUUCAACCACACCUGAAAGAUUAGUAUCUGCAAGCAAAGUAGUAACAACAAAGUAGCGAGUAACAGCAGUGGCAAGGAAUAUCGGUAGUGACAGUAGUAGCAAGUAGCAACAGUAGCAAGCGACAGUGGUAGAAAUAGUAGCAGUAGAGCAAGACAAGUAAUAGCAGUAGCAACAGUAGUAGCAGCAGCAGAGCAAGACAAGUAUCAGCAGUAGCAACAGUAGUAGCAGCAGUAGAGCAAGCUAAGUAACAGCAGUAGCAACACUAGUAACAGCAGCAGAGCAAGACAAGUAUCGGCAGUAGCAACAGUAGUAGCAGCAGCAGUAGGACAAACUCGUAGGCAACGGGUCGGUGAUUUUUUUGGAUGAUAUUCAUCAUGCAACAGUUAUAACACGAAGAGAUAAGUGGCUAGCUCCCGUUCGUCAAUGUAAUGUAGGCAUGCAUUCCGUGUGUCGUCAUACGUGCUGAGGGAAAAGAACUUGCAUGACAUCUAUUGUCCAUCCCUCCCGUGGCAGCAGGGUCCAAAAGGAAACUAUGGGAUAUUAAGGUUCUACUUUUAAUAAAGAACUGGACCAACGCAUUAGCACUUGGUGAACACAUGAACUCCUCAAAGUAUGGUCAUCACCGGGAGUGGUUCCGGUUAUUGUCACUCCGGGGUUGCCGGAUCAUAACACAUAGUAGGUAACUACAACUUGCAAGAUCGGAUCUAAAACACACAUAUAUUGGUGACAACAUAAUAAUUUCAGAUCUGAAAUCAUGGCACUUGGGCCCUAGUGACAAGCAUUAAGCAUGGCAAAGUAGUAGCAACAUCAAUCUCAGAACAUAGUGGAUACUAGGGAUCAAUCCCCAUCAAAACUAACUCGAUUACAUGAUAGAUCUCAUCCUACUCAUCACCGCCCAGCGAGCCUACGAAUAGAUUACUCACGAACGACGAAGAGCUUUAUGGAAUUGGAGAGCGAAGAAGGUUGAUGAUGACGAUGGCGACGGUUUCCCCUCUCCGAAACCCAAGACGGACUCCAGAUCUGCCCUCCAGAUGAAGAACAAGUGGUGGCGGCGGCUCCAUAUCGCAAACGCGACGAAAACUUCUCUUUCUAUUUUUUCUGGGACGAAAGUGAAUUAUAGACCUUAGGUUGGGGGCGGUAGAGCCGUGUGGUCCCGACAAGCCUGCCCACCGCCACGAGGGGGGUGGUGGCGGAGCCAGGGCUUGUGGCCCACUGGCCCACCCCCUCAGGUGGAACUUGGCGCAGGUAUUUUUUAUAUUUUCCAAAAUUGCUCCCCGUAGAUUUUUACGACAUUCCGAGAACUUUCAUUUCUGCACAAAAACAACACCAUGGCAAUUCUGCUGAAAACAGCGUCAGUCCGGGUUAGUUCCAUUCAAAUCAGGCAAAUUAGAGUCCAAAACAAGGGCAAAAGAGUUUGGAAAAGUAGAUACGAUGGAGACGUAUCAACUCCCCCAAGCUUAAAACCUUGCUUGUCCUCAAGAAACUCAGGUGACAAACUAAGAGAGAAAAAAAAACUUUGACAAACUCUGUUUGAUCUUGUUGUUGCAACUAUGUCUAACUCAUAACCAGAAUUUCAGCAAGAUCACAAGUUAACCACAUAAGAAAGUGACACAAAGGUCUCACGGUAAACUAAUAUCAAUGGCAUAAUCAGCUAACGAGCAAAUAAUAAUGAGUUUCAAAUACCAACACUUCAAUCAAAACAAGCAUGAAGCAAUAUGAAUAGGUGGUAUCUCGCUAGCUCUUUCUGAGACCGCAAAACAUAAAUGCAGAGCACUUUCAAAGAUCAAGGGCUGACUAAACAUUGUAAUUCAUAGCAACGAAGAUCCAGUCAUAGUCAUACUCAAUAUCAAUCAAAAGAAAAGCAUAAAAAUGACAGAGGUGCUCUCUAAUUUGUGCUUAUAUAAGAGGAGGAUGACUCAACAGGAAAAUAAACAGACACGCCCUUCGCAGAGGGAAGCAUUGAUUUGCAGAGGUGUCAGAGUUCAAGCUUCGAAAACAGAGAUAAUAAUUUUGGGUGGCAUGCUUUCAUUGUCAACGCAAUGACCAAGAGGUAUCAAUAUCUUCCAUGCUGCUCAUGCUAUAGGCGGUUCCCAAAUAGAAAAGUAAAGUUUUAACUCCCCCACCACCAAUCAAUCACACUCCAUGGCUAGCCGAAUCCUCGCGUACCGUCCAUACUAACAUCAAUCCGGAGGGAGUCUUGUUUUACAGUUAUGUUUUCGAUUAAGCGUGGAACUGGACAUCCAAUUACCGGCCCCUUUCUCGUGAAUGAGUGUGAAUAAACACAUGUCGAGGAUAACACUCCUAGCAUGGAAGAUACCAAUAGCCCCCUGUCACCACAUGAGCGGUUCGGGCAUGCAAAACAGAUUAUUUCUUGAAGGUUUAGAGAAUGGCACAUGCAAAUUUACUCGGAAUGGGAGGUAGAUACCGCAUAUAGGUAGGUAUGGUGGACUCUCAUGGAAAAACUUUUGGGUUUAUGGAAGUGGAUGCACAAGCAGUAUUCCACUUAGUACAACUGAAGGCUAGCAAAAGACUGGGAAGCGACCAACUAAAGAGCGACAACGGUCAUCAAGAUGCAAUGAGUUUGACUAACAUUAAAUGCAAGCAUGAACAGGAUAUAAAUCACCAUGAACACGAACAUCAUAGAGGCUAUGUUGAUUUUGUUUCAACUACAUGCAUGAACAUGCGCCAAGUCAAGCCACUUGAAACAUUCAAAGGAGAAUACCAUCCUAUCAUACUACAUCAUAGUCAUCUCAAAAUCUAUGUUGGCAAUCAAGACAAACCAUUAUAAGCUGUCAGCUAAAUAAGCAUGGCAUCAGAAACUAUGAUCACUAAGUUGUCAUUGCAAACAUGGUUCUCUCACAACAAAGCUAAAUCUGGGUCGACAAGCUAGUCAUAUUUACAAAAACAAAAUAGAUAGAGUUCAUACCAGCUUUUCAGUUUCAGUCACCUCAUCAUAUAUCAUCAUUGGUGCUUUUCAUUUGCACGAUCGAACGAUGUGAACAAUAAUAAGUGCAUUGGCCUAAGCUGAAUCUGCAGGCAAACACAAAGGAGAAGACAAAGUAAUAUGGCUCUUUGAAAGUUAAACAGGUAAGCAUGCAAGAACCACUAAACAUUGUAACCAAUAUCUUCUACCUUGACCCAAAGAAAAAGAAAACUAUUUACACGGGAAAGCUCCCAGCAAGCAAAAGAAGAAAGAAAAAUCUUUUUGGGUUUUCUCAAAAGGACACAAAACAAGAAAACAAGAAAACGAAAAUAAACUAGCAUGGAAAAUACAGUAGCAAAGUGUAAACACCGGCUAACAAAGUGAAAGCAUAAGCGUGAAUGUAAAGUCGGUGAGAACACGUACUCCCCCAAGCUUAGGCUUUUGGCCUAGCUUGGUCUACUCCCAAGGUGGGAAAUAACCAGCUCCAGGAUACUCCGGAGCAGACUGUGGAUGCCACUGUUGUGUGAGCUCCUCUGGCUCCCACUGAUAAACUGGCGUCUCGUACUUGACUUGCGGCUCGGGCACGGGCGCCUGCGGUUGGGCCAAGCCCCCAUAUGCGUAGAUGUCCAAGGGCAUAAUAGUGUACCUGCCUUUAUGAAGAUCGAACAAAGAAGGAGCAUGCAAAGUAAUAGUCUCUCGAGUACCCUGACUAAAUACCAGGUUAUAAAUCAUCCGUCUACUAGCAUCUCUAUCCAAAAAAUCAUGGCGAACCAUGCUGUCAUAAUCCAGAUAUUUCUGAGGGAGAAGCAUCUCUCCUUCCUCUCCCAGUCUAAUGGGUAUCUCAAAGUGUCUGGCAAGACGGGCAGCAUAGAUACCUUCAUAGACAACACCUUUAGAACGGUUCAGGUUCAACCGUUGAGCUACUAUAGCACCCAAGCUAUAAGUCUUAUCGUUAUAAAGGCCUUCGCGCAAAACCGCAAGGUCUGGAGAACUAAGUGAUCCAGCCUCCCUACGGCCAAUCAAACAUUUUCCCACAGAUAGUGAAAAGUAUCGAAGCACAGGAAAAUGUAUGCUAGCAAUUCUAGCGCGAGACACUCCUCUCUCCUCUCCAACAGCGAUAGUACCAAUGAAAUCCUCCAAGUCCCGUGGACGAGGGUCACGGAUAUCCCCAACAUAAGGUAAUUUCCAUACAUUGCAAAAAUCUUGUAGUGUCAUGCACUGGGGAACAUCGUAUAUCAUGAACUCAACCAUGGGAGGAUUCUUCCUCGGAUAAAAGUUGAAGCUUUGAACGAAAAUAUUGGAGGAGGAGGUAUUGUGAGCACUUAUCUGCAACGAACGCAGUAAGACCUGCGUUCUCCACCAAGUAAUAAAAGUCUUCAUAAAGUGUGGCGGCGCGCAAUAAUUAAUCACUUGGCCACUCGCACGCUCGAACUUCUGUGACUCGAGGGACCACGUACUUGGGAUGGUUCAUCUCAUCCUCCUUAGGGUUACGGCUUGAAGAGCCUCUCAAGAACCUCCUCAUCUUUUCCUUUUUCUAGCUCUGAAAAAUUCUGAAAUUUUUAGAGACUUCGAAAGAAAAGUGAACAAGGAUUAACCCAACUUGUAGCAACUACUCCUACUAGUGCCUAGAGACCGUAUCACGUGCUAAAACUACUUGGGACCAGCUAAAAUCAACCUUUCAAGCUCAAGAACAGGGUCACCAAGGUAGCAAGAAUACGCGAAGGAUAAAGCACUAGAGCAAAAACUAAUUGGACCAAUGGAGGAGUCACUUACCAAGGAGUAAUUUCCCCAAAAUGGUUCGGAGAAUGGUGCUUUGAGCAAGGAGAUCGAAAAUCACAACCAAAUGAGCAAGAACACGGGUUUGAGCUGCGAAACAAUUUUUUCUAGAGGUGGAAGAAGAGGUUGAGAGCUGGAAUGAGUGGAGGGGGUGCCUGUGGGCCCCACAAGCUUGCACUCUGCCACUAGGGGGUAGGUGGCGGUGGCAGGGCUUGUGGCCCACUGGUCUGGCCCCCAAGCCAGCUCUCAGGCCCAGAAAUUUUCAAAAAUUCCAGAAAAAAUGAUACUAAAUUUUCAGGACCAUCGGAGAACUUUUAUUUUCGAGGUAUUUUCUCCGGGACGCUAAAACAGAAAACGGGAAAAACUAAACUAAUUCUAUCUAUUUCUUCUAAGCAAAAGAAAAUGAAAGCUUAAAACAGAGGUAUGUGACUCUUUGAUUCAUCCGUUUCAUGGUCAUCGAAAGAAAUCCGUCAAUGGGAUUGAUCAAGUCCUCAUGACAAAACCUUCUCGAAUCGCAAGAGAGAACGGAGAAUUUUCUAAUAGCCACUAAGUCACCUCAAUGGGGAUAUGUAUCUCCCCAACAAGCAAAUCAUACUUCAUCUUGACACGAGGAAUAGGGCAUUCAAAGCUCCCAAUAAGAAUCGAUGAAGUCUUUUCGAUAGCAUUUAUGCAAUGUACUUGAUAUCGUUUCUUCGGAAAGUGCACGGUGUGCUCAUUACUGUUGACAUAGAAAGUGACAUUGCCUUUGCUGCAAUCUAUAACAGCCCCUGCAGUGUUUAAAAAGGGUCUUCCGAGGAUGACAGCCAUGGCAUCAUCCUCGGGAAUAUCCAAGAUAACAAAGUCUGUUAAGAUAGUGGUGUUAGCAACCACAACAGGCACAUCCUCGCAAAUGCUGAUAGGGAAAGCAGUUGAUUUGUCGACCAUUUGCAGAGAAAUUUCAGUGGGUGUCAACUUAUCCAAUUCAAGUCUACGAUAAAGAGAAAGCGGCAUAACACAAAUACCGGCUCCAAGGUCACAUAAGGCAGUUCUUACGUAGUUUCCUUUAAUAGAGCAAGGUAUAGUGGGCACUCCGGGAUCACCAAGUUUCUUAGGAGUUCCACCUUUAAAAGUGUAAUUGGCAAGCAUGGUGGAGAUCUCAAGAUCUGGUAUCUUCCGUUUAUUAGUCACGAUAUCUUUCAUGUACUUGGCAUAUGGAGACAUCUUGAGCAUAUCAGUUAACCGCAUAUGAAGAUAGAUGGGUCUUAUCAUCUCAACGAAGCACUCAAAAUCCUCAUCAUCCUUUUUCUUGGAUGGCUUAGGAGGAAAGGGCAUAGGUCUCUGAACCCAUGGCUCCCUUUCUUUACCAUGCUUCCUAGCAGCGAAGUCAUUCUUAUCGUAUUUCUUAGGUUGUCGGUUAUCAGGAUUAACCGUAGGUUCAACCUCCACAUCCUCAUCAUUGCUAGGUUGAGCAUUAUUAUGAACAUCACUGUCCAUAUUGUCACCAGGUUCAUGUUCAUCACCAGAUUGUGUUUCUGCAUCAUACGCAGAAAUAUCAUUAGGUUCUUCCGGUGUGACAGUAUUUAGUGAACUGGCAUGUAGGUUUAUAUCAUCCUUCUUCUUCUCCUUAGGAUGACUAGGUCUAUCAGCAUUGAUUCCUUGAGAAUCUUGAUCAAUUCUCUUAGGAUGUCCUUCAGGAUACAAAGGUUCCUAAGUAAUUUUGCAUCCUCUAGUAACAACUCUUACAGAGUUGUCAUUUAAUUCAAUGAGCAAGUCAUUCUGAGCUUUAAAUACUUGUUCUACCUGAGCAGUAAUCAUAGAGGCAUGUUUACUCAGAAGCUUCAGACUGUUGACAUUUCUCUCUACACAAGCACUUAAAUGGAUAAGCAUACAAGUACUUUGUUCCAAAUGUCUGCUAACAUAAUCAUUGAAACUCUGUUGUUUGGCAACAAAGUUGUCAAAUUCAUCAAAGCAUAGGCUAGCAGGUUUAUCAAAAGGAAUAUCACUCUCAUCAAACCUACGCAGAGAAUUCACUUCUACUACCUGUAUCGGGUUAUCGAGACCAUGGAUCUCUUCGAUAGGUGGUAGAUUUUUACAUCUUCAGAUCUAAUGCCUUUCUCUUGCAUAGAUUUCUUAGCUUCUUGCAUAUCUUCGGGACAGAGGAAUAGAAUACCUCUUUUCUUAGGAGUUGACCUAGGAGGUGGUUCGGGAAUAGUCCAAGCAUUAUCGUUGAUGAAGAUGUUAUUCAGUAGGGUCUCAGCUUGUUCUACAGUUCGUUCCCUAAAAACACAACCGGCAAAACUAUCUAGGUGGUCUCUAGAGGCAUCAGUAAGUCCGUUAUAGAGGAUAUCAAGUAUCUCGUUCUUCUUAAGAGGGUGAUCAGGCAAAGCACUUUGUAGUUGGACGAGCCUCCCCCGAGCUUGUGGAAGACUCUCUUCUUGGAGUUGAGCAAAGUUGUAUAUUUCCUCCAAGGCAGCUUGCUUCUUAUGGGCACGGAAAUAUUUCUCAGAGAAGUAAUAGCCCAUCUCCUGGGGACUACUCACACAUCCGGGAGCAAGAGAGGUAAACCAGGCUUUAGCAUCAUCCUUUAGAGAGAAAGGAAACAGCUUAAGGAUAUAGUAGUGGCGGAUCUUCUCCUCAUUAGUGAAAAGGGUGGCUAUAUCGUGUAGUUUGGCAAGAUGGGCUACAACCGUCUCAGACUCAUAACCGUGAAAAGGAUCGGAUUCUACUAGAGAGAUUAUCUCAGGGUUGACACAGAAUUGAUAAUCCUUAUCGGUGAUAAAGAUAGGUGAAGUGGAAAACUUAGGGUCCUAUUUCAUCUUAGCUUCCCGAGAUUUUUCCUUCCACUUGAGAAGUAAUUUCUCAGCGUCAUAGGCAUCCUUACACGCAAGAAAAUCCUCAGCUAUCUCUCCCUCCAUAACGUAACCCUCAGGUAUAUCAGGAAAUUUAUAUCUAGGAGAGCUAGAUCUAGCAGGAGCAAAAGCAGGUUCUAUCUCAAUAGUAUCUGCAGUAUCAGAAGCAUCACGAGCAUUGGCAGUAACUCUAGCAAUAUGAGCAUCUCUAGCAGUAUCAAGCAUAGCAUCAUCAGGCAAAACAACAUCUCUAGCAUCAUUAGGAAAAGCAGUAUCAAGCAUAGCAUCUCUAGCAGUAUCGGGCAUAGCAUCUCUAGCAGUAUCAAGCAUAGCAUCAUCAGGCAUAGUAUCAGGCAUAGUAUCAAGCAUAGCAUCAUCAGGCAUAGUAUCAUCAGGCAUAGUAUCAAGCAUAGCAUCUCUAGCAGUAGCAUCAUAAGCAUCAUCAAGCACAGGCGACAUAUCAAGAUUUCUUGCAGGAGGUGAUGUCGCAAACUUACUCAUUACUGAAGGUGAAUCAAGUGCAGAGCUAGAUGGCAAUUCCUUACCUCCCCUCGUAGUUGACGACAAGACUUUGGUCUUCGGAUCCUUCAGAUUCUUCAUAGUGAUCAGCAGAUAUAAAUCCCAAGUGACUCAGAGAAUAUAGCAAUACCUCCCCAGCAACGACGCCAGAAAAAUGCUUGAUGUCAACUAUUCUUCCCCUUCGCAACGGCACCAGAAGAAUGCUGUUAGCACUCUCCGGCAAUCGAAACUAGAAGAAUGUUGUUGACGUCCACCAGCGCGUGGGAUCGUAGCAGUUUUCGAGGGUAGAGUAUUCGACCCAAAUUUGUUGAUUUGUACGACGGGAGGUGAGAGAAUACUCUCAAGUAUUAGCAGCUGAAUUUAUCAGAUUCACCACACCUGAAAGAUUAGUAUCUACAAGCAAAGCAGUAACAACAAAGUAGUGAGUAACGGCAGUGGCAAGGAACAACGGUAGUGACAGCAGUAGCAAGUAGCAACAAUAGCAAGCGACAGUGGUAGCAAUAGUAGCAGCAGAGCAAGACAAGUAAUAGCAGUAGCAGCAGAAGAGUAAGACAAGUAUCAGCAGUAGCAACCGUAGUAGGAGGAGCAGAGCAAGAUAAGUAACAGUAGUAGCAACAGUAAUAACAGCAGUAGAGCAAGACAAGUAUCAGCAGUAGCAACAGUAGUAGCAGCAGUAGUAGGACAAACUCGUAGGCAAUGGGUCGGUGAUUUGUUUGGAUGAUAUUCAUCAUGCAACAGUUAUAACACGGAGAGAUACGUGGCUAGCUCCCGUUCGUCAAUGUGAUGUAGGCAUGCAUUCCGUGUGUCGUCAUACGUGCUUAGGGAAAAGAACUUGCGUGACAUCUAUUGUCCAUCCCUCCUGUGGCAGCGGGGUCCAAAAUGAAACUACGGGAUAUUAAGGUUCUCCUUUUAAUAAAGAACCGGACCAACGCAUUAGCACUUGGUGAACACAUGAACUCCUCAAACUAUGGUCAUCACCAGAAGUGGUUCCGGUUAUUGUCACUCCGGGGUUGCCGGAUCAUAACACAUAGUAGGUAACUACAACUUGCAAGAUCGGAUCUAAAACACACAUAUAUUGGUGACAACAUAAUAAUUUCAGAUCUGAAAUCAUGGCACUCGGGCCCUAGUGACAAGCAUUAAACAUGGCAAAGUAGUAGCAACAUCAAUCUCAGAACAUAGUGAAUACUAGGGAUCAAUCCCCAUCAAAACUAACUCGAUUACAUGAUAGAUCUCAUCCUACUCAUCACCGCCCAGCGAGCCUACGAAUAGAUUACUCACGAACGACGAAGAGCUUUAUGGAAUUGGAGAGCGAAGAAGGUUGAUGAUGACGAUGGCGACGGUUUCCCCUCUCCGAAACCCAAGACGGACUCCAGAUCUGCCCUCCAGAUGAAGAACAAGUGGUGGCGGCGGCUCCAUAUCGCAAACGCGACGAAAACUUCUCUUUCUAUUUUUUCUGGGACGAAAGUGAAUNGCGGCUCCGUAUCGCAAAUGCGACGAAAACUUCUCUUUCUAUUUUUUCUGGGACGAAAGUGAACUUAUAGACCUUAGGUUGGGGGCGGUAGAGUCGUGUGGGCCCCACAAGCCUGCCCACCGCCACCAGGGGGGUGGUGGCGGAGCCAGGGCUUGAGGCCCACUGGCCCACCCCCUCAGGUGGAACUUGGCGCAGAUAUUUUUUACAUUUUCCAAAACUGCUCCCCGUAGAUUUUUAGGACGUUUGGAGAACUUUGAUUUCUGCACAAAAAUAACACCAAGGCAAUUCUGCUGAAAACAGCGUCAGUCCAGGUUAGUUCCAUUCAAAUCAUGCAAAUUAGAGUCCAAAACAAGGGCAAAAGAGUUUGGAAAAGUAGAUACGACGGAGACGUAUUGUGACAGCCCGAUGCCGACAUUCUAGAAGCUUCCCCUCUCUUUCUGUUUUCGUCGUGUGGCUUAUUUUAAUUGUCGUGUCAUCAUCGCAUCAUGCGCAUCAUCAGCAUUGCAUCGGUGUCUCCGUUGCCGCCCGUUUUCAAACUUGCAUGCGUUGAUAGUUGCCGGUUUGCGUCGCUGUCCGUUCCGAGCCCGACCGCACACGCACGCACCCGCGGCACCGUUGAAACCCUGUUUUAAAAGUGCGUUUAAAACUUUCUCUGAUCGAGGUGAAACUUGGCACGCGGUCGCGAUUAGAUGUAGCUAGGCCGCCUGUCGAAUUUCGUCGCGAUCGGAGACCGUCUAGUACCCGAACGGUCGCCCGUAGCGGUACUGUCUUCGGUUAUUGUCGGACGUCUGUCGGUGUUUUAAUAGUCGAUGCCGCGCCGCACCACUUCCCUCUCAUCUUGGCCAACGCCACUCCACACACCUAACCCUAAUCCGCCUCUCCGAUCGGACCGCACGAACGCGACCGGAGGGUCGAAAAACCCCCAAAUACCCCCCCCCCUAACCUAGCCCCAUCCUAUAAAUAGACGCACUAACCUGCCUAAUAUGGCUAACCCUAGCCUCUGCCUCGAAGAUCGCGCCAUCCAACCCGGCCGCCGCCACCUGGUCUCUCUCCUCCCGCGCAGGGCCCUCCCAGGCCCAUCUGGAGCCAGCCCAGGCCCGAGCCGCCGCCGCGCAAGCCCNNNNNNNNNNNNNNNNNNNNNNNNNNNNNNNNNNNNNNNNNNGUCUCGUGGGCUCGGAGAUGUGUAUAAGAGACAGGCCCAGUAGGCCUCGCCCGGCCUGCUCCCCACGCAAGCGCCUGGCCCGGCUCCACCAGCGGCCCGAGAGCCCCAAGGUGAGCCAUUCCCCGCCCUAGGCGACUGCUUCUAAAUUGCUCUCAAUGACCGAACCGGCUCUGAUUCGAAUUCGGCCCAAUAACCUUUUUUUCAGGUUUUAGAAUGUAAAUCUAUUUCAAAGAAAUAGACGUUUUUCAAACGACCGUAUCUUUUUACCCGUAAGUGGGAACGAGGCAUGUAGUAUAUGUUUUUGUGGUAGUUUCGCGCGUAGAAUAUGUUUUUGAAACUAGCAUAUUUGCUUAACGCCGUUUAGGGGUGCCUAAUGCUUUGUUUUGCGUGCUGUUACAAUAGGUUCCGAUCCGUAGUUAUUUUUCGCGCGUGUCCGGGUUGUUCCUAUGACGUAGGAUAAAUGUCCAUGCCCUAGGGAGCUAUUUUCCAUGUAUUUUAGCGCGGUCACUCGUAUUUUUGAGUGUAGGGAUUUCCCGUUAGAUUAUUUUUCGUAUCUAGGUGAUUCUCCCGCUUUAUUGUGUGGCAUCAUAUUGUGUUGCAAACCCCACGUAUUUUAUAUGUUUCCGGGGUAGAAAAAUCCCAUGGAUUUUUCUGUGCAAUUAGUUUUAGCAUUAGAGCAAGUUAGUUCACGAGAUAUUUUGCCGUGAUGCCGUUUUGUUUAAUUCGUAGGAUUUAUUCCGAGCCCCGUUCGAAUUAGUUGUCAACUAGAGAGUUGAUCUUGGAUGUUUUGUGUAGUCCCUGGUAUUUUUGGUUGCAAUAGAAACGCAUGUUUAGGUGUUGUUUGUCUGCCCUCAAGUUGCUUGAAUAGUGCUGUUUUAGAGGAGCUGAAAUAUUUCUAAGUCUCGAAUCUGUUAUAUUUUGUUGAUGUCUUGUCUUGCUUGCACCUUGAGAUCUGUAGCUCUUAUGAGGUUGGUCCAAUGGAGUUAGUUGUUCCCCUUAUGUUUCUCUAGCAUGCUGUUAAGUUUCGUGCCUUUUGGAGUCCUAUAGCUAUAGGUUUUGCUGCUGUCAAUAUGGCUUCAGGCUGAAAACUGCACUUUGAUGAGGUGUUAUUUUCACUAAGUCUGAAAUAGUGUGUGAGAUGCCGUUUUGUGUCUUCUUUUCCUAGUGCUCCUUGCUGCCAUGCUAGUUGUUGUUAGUUGUUUGUAGUAGUGCGUCUUGCCCUCUUUCAUGCCAUGCCUUGCUUGAGUUUACCGGAGUUGUGUAGCCGAAGUUGUGAGGCGUAGAAGUUGCUAUGUGGCUGUUUUUGGCAGAUUGCAGUGUUUUCUUGUUUUGCUCGUAGUUUUCGAACCGUAGCUCCGUUUUGAUCGUGUCCUACAUGAAACUUGCUUAGAAUCUCGUGUAGUUUCAUUUUCUCUUGUUGUUCGUAUGUUUUGAAGUGCUCGUAGCCGCCGUUGCACACAUUUUGCAUUCAUGCCAUCUUAUCUUGCGGUGCCCGUAUCUGUUGAUCCGUAGCUCCGUUGGAGUUGUUCUUUAUGUGUAGAUUGCUUGCUUUGACGCGUAUAAUCUCGUGAACCUAUUUGUUUUUCUGUUUGACAACCAUUUAAAUGCAUUAAUUCAGAUCUGGACAGAAUUGUAAAUUAACAUGUGAGGUCGUUUCGGAGAUGCUAUAUGUCGUUUCCGGCCUCACUUAAAAUGCUUAGGUAGGUAGUUUAUUUUCCGCUUCACCUCUUGCAUGUUUAACAACAUUAAUAUUGACGUGUAAAUAACCGGGAGUGAACUAAAUAAUUAACGUGGAGUUUCAUCAAUAUGCAACUCGUGCAUAUUGAACUUCAAUUAAUGUGUAGUGUUUGAUUGUGUGAUUUGCCAUGCCGUGACUUGCAUGUAUUCAGUAGCUCAUGCAUCAUAUGUGAAGUGCAUCGUGUGGUGAAUUUCGUGUGUUGAUUUGUGUUUCCGGUUUCCCCGUCUCGAUAGAGUUCCGCAAGCGUGUCGGAUUGUGAGGACCCGUUCGACUACGUCGGUUCGUCUCCUUCACGGAGGCAUUCUUCUUCCAAGCAGGAUCUCAGGCAAGAUGAUCAUUUCCCCAGAUACCAUUACUAUCAUUGCCAUGCUAGUUAUCGCUUCAAUCGUUUAUGUCUCGUUGCCUACCACAUGUUUCCAUAGCAGCCUCUCAACAAUGUCAUGAUUACCUUCAACCUGUUCGACCUAGCAAACCACUGAUUGGUUAUGUUACUGCUUGCUUAAUCCUGUUGAUAGCGUUGCUAGGGGGGGCAGGUGCAGAUGCUUCCAUGUGAUAACAUGGGUCCCUUGUCAUAUCACCGUAUUAAUACUACUUAUUUUAAUGCACCUAUAUAUCUGGUAAAAGGUGGAAGGCUCAGCCUUUCUAGCCUGGUGUUUUGUUCCACCUUUACCCCCUUAGUUUCGGUUGCCGGUGUUAUGUUCCAUAAUUGAGCGCUCCUAACACGAUCGGGGUUGUUAUGGGGACCCCCUUGAUAAUUCGUUUUAGAUUAAAGCUGUUCUGGCAAGGCCCAACAUUGGUACUACAUUUGCCUAAUCACCUAAUAAAAUUGCACAGGGACUUUCCGGACCCCGAGGAUAUUUUAAUCAACCCCCGGGCCAGUGCUCCUCAUGAGUGUUGGUCCACCCACCUAGCAGUCGGCGGUGCCACCAUGGGGCAACUCGAGGUUUGGCUACCGUCCACUUUGCAUAGACGGUGUGUCCUGAGAACGAGAUACGCGGCUCCUAUCGGGUUCGUCGACACACCGGGUGGCCUUGCUGGAUUAGUUUUACCUUUGACGAGAUAUCUUGUGCAUCGGGAUUCCGGUGAUGCUUUGGGUAAUCUCAGAGUUGAGGUUUUCCACUAGGGAAUCCGACGAGAUCGCGAGCUUCGUGAUUGAGGAUUUCUAUGCGGCUUGUGGUAAUUUGUGAUGGACUAGUUGGAGCACCCCUGCAGGGUUAAAUCUUUUCGGAAAGCCGUGCCCGCGGUUAUGUGGCAACGUGGAAGCUUUGUUUAACACUGGUUCUAGAUAACUUGAAGUUAAUUAAUUAAAAUAUGCCAACCGUGUGCGUAACCGUGACUGUCUCUUUCGUGAGUUCCUUCUCCGAUCGAGGACACGGUGGGGUUAUGUCUGACGUAGGUAGGUGUUCAGGAUCAUUCAUUUGAUC